rnacentral:ncRNA from 2 species
AUCUUUGCCCCCCGAAAUGGUUCGGAGUCCGUGUCCAACGGACAACGAUUAAAAGGGAAUCGGGUGUAAAUCCCGUACAGUCCCGCUGCUGUGAAGCUCUAUACAAUGUCUUAUUAAUGAACUAAUUUAUCGCCACUGAUGUUAUUUCGGGAAGGCACUAUAAGACAAGAGUCAGUCAGAAGACCUGCCACUUCGCGUAAAGCGUU